CAGUCGCCGCGGGAAUACGGAGGGUGCAAGCGUUAAUCGGAAUUACUGGGCGUAAAGCGUGCGUAGGCGGCUUUUUAAGUCGGAUGUGAAAUCCCUGAGCUUAACUUAGGAAUUGCAUUCGAUACUGGGAAGCUAGAGUAUGGGAGAGGAUGGUAGAAUUCCAGGUGUAGCGGUGAAAUGCGUAGAGAUCUGGAGGAAUACCGAUGGCGAAGGCAGCCAUCUGGCCUAAUACUGACGCUGAGGUACGAAAGCAUGGGGAGCAAACAGGAUUAGAUACCCCAGUAGUCCCUGUCUCUUAUAC
rnacentral:rRNA from 1 species